GCCUCCCAUGGCUCACGCAGCAGGGACCCGGUCCCCUCUGCUCCUCACCUCCCUGCCUUGCAGGCCUGGCCCGCCUACCCUGCUCCCAAAACAGGCCCUGAUCCCUAUCCCGGGUCCUUGGACAGGCCCGCUCCCCAACCCUGCUCCCUGGGCAGACCCGGGCCCACCUGGCACACCGACCCUGCCCCCCGCCCCCUGCAUGCCCAGACACAGCCGAUUUCGCCGGAGAAACAGCUUCCUUUGCCAGGGUCUUGAGUUUCUCCUUGUCUGGGAUUGAGGAGGGAGGAGGGAGGGGGGUCCUCGGGGGCUCGCCGAGCCGGGGACGGGCUCCCACCAAGCCUGGGGGGGCUGGGGCCCCUCCAACGAGCACACAGUACCGGGAGAGCCGCCCGGGGUGCACGCCUGCAAGGGACAGACAUGUGUGUGGGGGCAGCUGGAACAGGGAAGGGACGGCCGGGCUACAGCGGAACGGAAGCCGUUCGUCUCCGUCUCAAUGUCCCUGCGACCUCAGGCCCCACGAGCCAGCGUGUGCUGCUUGGGCCCCUUCCAGCCAAACACUGAAGACUUUUGUGAGCCUGCUGUCAAACCGUUGCAGUUCGAAACUAGCCGAGGGGAGAGAUUUAUACCACGUAAAUCAGGCGACAGGCUCUUACAGGGUUUGGUUGCCUGUGAACCCCUCAGGCCAAGACCCUCAGCUACUGUCGAAGGUGGCGACUGUGCUGCUCAGGCCUGGCCCAGGUGUGAGCAGGGACCCCCAUAGUCAUUCCCGGUGUCCUGGGUCAUCCAACACUGACAUGACAGACCCUGUCAGCUCCUUGGGCCGGUGUCCACUGCCCACCCAGGGCCAGAGCCCCUACUAGAGGUCUCAGUUCCCACCAGGGGUCACCGUUCUCACCCAAGAGGUCACCUUCCCACCCUGGGUCACGGUUCCUGCCAGGGGUCACGGUUCUCACCAGGGGUCACAGUUCUCACCAGGGUUCAUGGGUCCCACCAAGGGUCACGGGUCCCACCAGGGGUCAUGGUUCCCACCAGGGAUCACGGGUCCCACCAGGGGUCAUGGUUCCCACCCAGGGGUCCCAGUUCUUGUGCAGCUCUUGGCUUCCCACCUCUAAGGUGAGAGUCACCCUCCUGAGCACCUUCUCUGGCCGCGAGGAAAGCAGGCCCCUGGACCGACCCUCAGCUCACGCUGGGGAGACGCCGGACAGGCAGCCAGCCUCUGGGGACAAUGACUCAGAGAUGCAUUCUCUAGGUCAGGGGGUCCCGGUGCCGGCCCCCACCGCCUGUGGUGCCCCCUGCCCCCCAGGCAUCAGCGCCCUCCGCAUUUCCACGUUCCCUCCCCACGUGUCCCGGACCACUUCCCCGGUAAACCCUCCCGAAUCCUCCCGUCAGGGUCUGCUUCCAGGGACCAAGCGGAGGCGACUCGGUUCCUGAAAGCCGCGACAAAACCCGGGGGCCUCCACAACCUGCCCACACGGACGAAGGGACAUAGGGCGCCACCUCCCGGCCCCUCCCCCUCCCACGGAGACUAAAGGGGCCCAGAACAUUCCCAGAGACUCCCCAGUCCUCACGCCCUCCACACGCCCUCCCCUCGGCCAGCCCCUCCCUCCAACCUGGUGGCUAACAGGCGGGGUAGGGUUACGUGGGGGUGCAGGGCACCCGAGGACGGGCGAGGCCUCCAUCCACCCCACGACCUAAGGACGAGGCGCGGAGUGAGCAGCUGGCGUCGAGCACACAGGACAGCUUGUACCCCGGAGCCCGCGGGUGACAGCUGCCUUAGCCGCUUGAGGGACCCCGGGGGCGAAGCGCCUGGCUGAGCCCUGAAUUCUCGUCGUACGUCAGCGGUUGUGGGGACAGGCUAUCAGUCAGCGGGAGAUAUCAGCCAAACAUGGCUGCAGUUUCCACGGGACCCUAGACAAGCCCCGCUAACCCACGGGUGAGAAGCAAGGGGUAGGGGGCCUUCCAGGUGGCUGGAGGUGGGGGGGGUCUGGCAAUGCUCUGCUCAGGCUGUGAGACCUCCGGGCUACGCGCUGUGCUCUGCCUGCACGCGUCUGCACGCAUGCUGCCACUCAACACGAAAGUUCAAAGCAAAAGAGCAAAGGACAGUCUCAGAGAGAGUGCUCCCCGGACUCGGAGUGAGUGCUCCCCGGACUCGGAGUGAGUGCUCCCCAGACUCGGAGUGAGUGCUCCCCUGGACUCCAGCAGCCUGCAUGUGCCCUAAAGAAACCCUUCGGGGCACAUCUGACCGUGAAACCAUCAUCUUAUCUCUUACUGUCCACGUGUUGACUGCAGGCCUCCUACUUCUCAGGCAGUUUUGAGGCCACUUACAGUCACAAGGCCAAAGGACAGACAGAAAUAAAAGAAUGUGUCAAUGGAGGGCAGCUGAAACACGAUGAGACACCAGUAACCUCGCGUACUGGGUUGGAAAGCGUGCCCCCAAAUUCACGUCCACCCUGAGCCUCAGAACAUGACCUUAUUUGGAAAGAGAGCUGUUGAAGAUGUAAUUAGUCGUUACCAUGAGAUCAGACUGGAUUAGGGUGGGUCCUAAAUCCAGUGAUCAGCGGGGUUUUGUCUUGGUCGGGCUUUUAGCUAAAAUAUAGUGUGAUACCGGUUUUGGGAA